GCACCUGUAUGUAUGUCUUGUCAUUUUGUCCGUUUGCAUGUAUCUCUGAACUCUUUGUGCCUAUUGUGCUCUAUGUGUUUGUGUUGUUCUUGUAGGAGUAAUUUGUUAUAUGUUCCCUAAGUGUGAAGGCUUUCAUUUAUAUUUAUUUCUGCUUAUUCAUUUUUCAGCCAACUGCAGCUAGACCUGAAUUGGAAAAGGACCUUCCCAAGACACCAUGUUUAAUAGGCUUUGGGGCAUCAAGGUUGACGGCAACCAGAUAUAUGUUGUCAAUUGAUGGUGUUGUUGUCACUGACCAUAUCGCAACAUUUACUACUGGGCUGGCUAUGCUGCUGGCCUCCUACUACAACUUCAAUAUAAUGUACCCUGUUGAUUCUGCAUCGACACUGGAGUUCAUUCAAAGAUGCUUUGUUGGCAUCAAUCCAGAGCGGGGCAGCAAGAUUGAAGUAAAGAAGCACUGCAAGAGACGCACCCAAGUCCAUCCCAGAGUUCUGUCCCUGAUUAAUGCUAUUGCUGAUGUAGAGUGGAGGUGCUAAAUCCACAAGGUAAUAUUCAUUACUUCUGAAAACAUUUUUAAUCUUUAAUAAUCUUUUGACUGCUCCCAUUAGGGGUCGCUACAGCGAAUCGCUGUUCUCCAACGCGCUUGGUCUUCUGCGUCUUCCUGUGUCACGCCCACCACUUGCAUGCCUCCCUUCACAGCAUCCAUAAAUCUUCUCUUUGGUCUCCCUCUCUUCCUCCUGCUGGGUAGAUCCUUGUCCAGCAUCCUCCUCCCCACAUACUCCUUGUCUCUCCUCCUGACAUGUCCAAAC